UGGGGAAUAUUGGACAAUGGGCGGAAGCCUGAUCCAGCAACGCCGCGUGAGGGAUGACGGCCUUCGGGUUGUAAACCUCUUUCAGUAUCGACGAAGCGCCCGUGUGGGUGGUGACGGUAGGUACAGAAGAAGCACCGGCCAACUACGUGCCAGCAGCCGCGGUAAUACGUAGGGUGCGAGCGUUGUCCGGAAUUAUUGGGCGUAAAGGGCUCGUAGGCGGUUUGUCGCGUCGGGAGUGAAAACACUGGGCUUAACCGAGUGCUUGCUUUCGAUACGGGCAGACUUGAGGCAUUGAGGAGAGAACGGAAUUCCUGGUGUAGCGGUGAAAUGCGCAGAUAUCAGGAGGAACACCGGUGGCGAAGGCGGUUCUCUGGCAAUGUUCUGACGCUGAGGAGCGAAAGUGUGGGGAGCGAACAG
rnacentral:rRNA from 1 species